AUAAAGUCAGACUGUUGUAGUAGGAGUAUAUGGGGAUUGAGAUUGUUUAGUUUUUUCUUUGAGAACUUCGAUUGUCCACUAAUGGAAAGCUAUAUUUAAAUUUAAAUGACAGAACAGCCUGAAGGAUUGUGCUGAGUUUGGUGGAUAUAGUUUGUUCAAUAACAGUAUGUUGGCUUUAAUGAGGUGGAUUCCUUAAGGAAUCUCUUCUGAGAAGAACUUCUUAUUUACUGAUUGCAAGACACAUUUUCCAACGUCUCCCACUAUCUCUCCCUGUCUCUCUCUCUCUCUCUCAACACACACACACACCAAGGUUUUCUCCGAAGUCUUUCCCCUCCCUCCAUCUGGCGAUCGGCCACCCCUCCUUCAGCUGCUGAUGGUCCUGCUGUAGGCAGUCUGAUCAUUCUCCUUAGUGAGAGGACAGCACACACUCCUUUACAACCAGCCUCUGUCACUCACAUACACUCCUGUCUCAUUCUGACAAUAUGUUUAAAACUGGAUAUACCCCAAGCAGCACACCCUUCUGGAGCAUUUGAACUAUUUGAGCACUCGAUUCAGGAGAAGGAAGGUCAAUCAGCACUGAGGUAUGAGUUGUGCUUGAAUAAGCCUUCAAGGAGGGGAUUCUUCCUCUCGACACUGAAAUCUACUGAAGUUUUGGACGUCAACGAUGAGUCUUAAGAAGAGGAAACCAAGCAUGGUGUUCAGCUGGCACAAGUCUUUCACCAUCCUUGCACCGUGGAGAAAAGGUAAAAGGGAUAUUGUUUUAGACAAUGAGGUUGUACUGACAAAAAUGAAGCACCUCAACAACUUCCCUGAGAAACUCCUUAAUGUUGAGGAUUCCAUUUCAACAAUCUCCAUUUCAAUGUCUGAGCAGGAUAACACAGAACCUCUCCAGGCUGAUGAGGUGAUCUCCGUCCACAGUGCUGCUCCUGAGACAACUAUCUCGGAAUCCAAAAAAGACUAUCUAUCGUCAAUUUUUGCCAAUUCUGAGCUUCCAAGAUUGUACAAAUUUGAAUCUGAUGACUCUGGGGUAGAGAUGACUAGUGGAGCAACUUCUCCAUCCACCCCAACUGAUUCAGAGCAAAGCUUUGUGGUCCACAGUAGAGAGUCUUCAUGUGACUCUGGUAGCCUGAACUCUCCUGUAUCUGCUGACAAUCCUCUUGAAGACAGUUCAGUCUUCUUGGAAAUUGAACAAACAUCUUGCAAAUGUGCUAAACAAGACCCUCUUACCAUCCUGGGAGACAGAACAGAGGAUGAGAAUGUUGAUGAUGAUUUAAUAGACAUCACAGCAGAUUCAGAGAGGUCUGAGGACAGAACCCUGAGGAACACCAUGGAGAACUUUAAGGAUCAAUUUGAAAUCAUGGCAGCACAGGAGGAAAUAACAGACACUGCAGUGUCUGAGGACACAAUGUCAAGGAACCAGUGUUCUACAGAAGCUUAUGACGGCAAAACAGGACCUGAAUUUCAGCAACAACCUUUGAGGAAAAGUACAACCAGCGACAGUCUGGAUGAAUACAUGGAAGAGUGCUGCAGGCUAAGUGAGGUGAACCGAGCCAAUCAGUCCAACCCUCUGGGCUCAGGACUGGGGUACCUAGAGCACAUCUGCCAACUCAUAGAGAAGAUCGGACAGCUACAGGAACACAACCUUCGACUACAGAAACAGAUCUGUGGCCUGCAGAAGGAAGGCAGAGUGAUCAAGACUAAAGAGGACUUUUUUAUGCAGCACUGCAGCUGUGGAGCAGCCAACUUGGCCUUCCAAGAGCUCAAGAGACACUUUCGCAGUGACCACUACAGCCUGACGGCAUCAAACAGCACACUGUCUGACCUCAGCACAAUCCCUGAGGUCACACGCAUCCCCCUCAGUGCAGCCAUGAGAGAUGGUGACGUGGGCUGCCAACCUGCUCUUCCUGUUUGGAGGAGGGGUCUGAAUCGGAGGAGCUACACAGAGGGAGAGGCAAAGUACCUGAGUGACAGCGCAGAGGUCCUCUCUGCUCCGCACAGACGGGUGAGUCAGUCACUUAUCAACUCAACUGGACAAACACUCAUCUUUCAACACUCAGGAGAAGCCAAAUUAUAGCCAGUGUUUGGUUAAGCCUCUAUGUCUCAUGUAUCCAUUCACUCAUUACAGUAUAUUAUUUUAGAUUGUGGUAGUUGAGUCAAAAAAAACUGAAAAUGAAGCUGCCAGGGAUGGAAGUAGAGUCUGUUAGUUACAUUGUUAUUAAUAACAAUUAUGAUUAUUCAGCUGACGAAAUGAAUUCCCUGGACAAUGAAACUCCAUAAUAACAAACUUUGCAUAAAUAAUAUUUUAAAAGUGAUAAAAAUGCAUUCAAGUAAUUUAACCAAUUAUCUUUUAUUAUUAUUGCCUUUUACCAAUACAAUUACAAUUGUUUUUACAGUGUAACUUUGUGUGUCGCAGUUGAGUGAGAACUAUACAUGGGGAAGAGUGAAGGAACUGGUGAAGAAGACCAAACUGAGGAACCAGAGCCGGCUGGGACUGUCUUCAGGCUCCCUGAAGAGAUCAUGUCCACAGCUUUACCGGUACUCCAUCCAUCUUUUCAUAAUCAUUCAGGAGUUUCAGAUCAUUAGCACUCAAAACAGCUCUCAGAUUUGAUCUUCCUCUGAAGGCUCACUGAAUGUUAUUUUAUAAAUAAGUAGAAUAUUUAUUUAUUAUUUUUAAAAGCCAAAUCGACUUUUAAUAGUUUCGAAAAUUAAAAAUGAAUCAGAAUGGAAAUGUUUUGAAGCUUCAGCACAAUGCUCUAGAGUUGUGUUGCUCCCAUGGGAGCACUAUACAGUAACUUCUGAGAAGGCGUAUCAUAAACACAAGUACUACUAAUGGCUUCGUUCUUUUGAUGUUUUGCCUCACUACGUGUCCGUGUGAUGCAAGAUAAGACUCUCAUCACAACCGCUCGCUGUAUAACGCUAAACUGCUGGGCGUCCUAAUCUGGCCUGUACACUGCCUCCUCUUAAAUACCUCAGCACUGGGCUCAUGUGGUAGUUGGUGACUAGCACCACAUUGUAUGAAUGAGCAGAAAACAGAACACCGAUAAGGUAGUGGAUUAUUAAGUCCAGUACAAUUUUAGGAUAUUUUAUAUACUAUUAGAGUAUUAAGUAUUUAGAAAUGUUUUAUUUUAUAUAUUUUAUAAAUAUAUAAAAAUGUAUAAUCUCGGUUAAUCUCAGCAUUUACUAAUACAUUUUAAGAUCAAAAGUUGAAUGUUAACAUUAGUUAAUGCACUGUGAACAUUAACAUGAACAUUAUUAUUAACUAAUAUUAAAAAGGUAAUAACUGCUGCAUACUGUAGCUAUUGUUUUGCUCAAUGUUAGUAAAUGCAUUAAGUAAUAUUAACAAAUUAGCCAUUAUUGUAAAAUAUUGCCAGUUUAUUUAUUUAUUUAUUUAUUUAUUUAUUUCAGUUUUAGUUUUAGUCAUUUGACUACUUAAACUUAUUUUAUUCCAUUUAGUCGGCAAGACAACAUUUCUAAUUUAUGUUUAAUUUUUUUAACUUAAUUUUAAGUAGCAGAAAUGAUUUUUUUAUAGUAACAACUCUGAUUCUUUCAGUAUCAUGGGUUUUUUUGGACAUCACUAAUACGUGAUGCUAGAACAUCUAUACUGCACUUUUUCACAAUGUUAAUAAAUCAGUUUAUACUAUGACGCUGUUCUGUUAU
ensembl:lncRNA